CUAACACAUGCAAGUCGAGCGAAGCACUUUGCUUAGAUUCUUCGGAUGAAGAGGAUUGUGACUGAGCGGCGGACGGGUGAGUAACGCGUGGGUAACCUGCCUCAUACAGGGGGAUAACAGUUAGAAAUGACUGCUAAUACCGCAUAAGACCACAGCACCGCAUGGUGCGGGGGUAAAAACUCCGGUGGUAUGAGAUGGACCCGCGUCUGAUUAGCUAGUUGGUAAGGUAACGGCUUACCAAGGCGACGAUCAGUAGCCGACCUGAGAGGGUGACCGGCCACAUUGGGACUGAGACACGGCCCAAACUCCUACGGGAGGCAGCAGUGGGGAAUAUUGCACAAUGGGGGAAACCCUGAUGCAGCGACGCCGCGUGAGCGAAGAAGUAUUUCGGUAUGUAAAGCUCUAUCAGCAGGGAAGAAAAUGACGGUACCUGACUAAGAAGCACCGGCUAAAUACGUGCCAGCAGCCGCGGUAAUACGUAUGGUGCAAGCGUUAUCCGGAUUUACUGGGUGUAAAGGGAGCGUAGACGGAUGGGCAAGUCUGAUGUGAAAACCCGGGGCUCAACCCCGGGACUGCAUUGGAAACUGUUCAUCUAGAGUGCUGGAGAGGUAAGUGGAAUUCCUAGUGUAGCGGUGAAAUGCGUAGAUAUUAGGAGGAACACCAGUGGCGAAGGCGGCUUACUGGACAGUAACU
rnacentral:rRNA from 1 species